GUCUAGAUAGUAUAUUAGGUGUCAACAUGUCCUGUAUGUCUAGAUAGUAUAUUAGGUGUCAACAUGUCCUGUAUGUCUAGAUAGUAUAUUAGGUGUCAACAUGUCCUGUAUGUCUAGAUAGUAUAUUAGGUGUCAACAUGUCCUGUAUGUCUAGAUAGUAUAUUAGGUGUCAACAUGUCUAGAUAGUAUAUUAGGUGUCAACAUGUCCUGUAUGUCUAGAUAGUAUAUUAGGUGUCAACAUGUCCUGUAUGUCUAGAUAGUAUAUUAGGUGUCAACAUGUCCUGUAUGUCUAGAUAGUAUAUUAGGUGUCAACAUGUCCUGUAUGUCUAGAUAGUAUAUUAGGUGUCAACAUGUCCUGUAUGUCUAGAUAGUAUAUUAGGUGUCAACAUGUCCUGUAUGUCUAGAUAGUAUAUUAGGUGUCAACAUGUCCUGUAUGUCUAGAUAGUAUAUUAGGUGUCAACAUGUCCUGUAUGUCUAGAUAGUAUAUUAGGUGUCAACAUGUCCUGUAUGUCUAGAUAGUAUAUUAGGUGUCAACAUGUCUAGAUAGUAUAUUAGGUGUCAACAUGUCCUGUAUGUCUAGAUAGUAUAUUAGGUGUCAACAUGUCCUGUAUGUCUAGAUAGUAUAUUAGGUGUCAACAUGUCCUGUAUGUCUAGAUAGUAUAUUAGGUGUCAACAUGUCCUGUAUGUCUAGAUAGUAUAUUAGGUGUCAACAUGUCCUGUAUGUCUAGAUAGUAUAUUAGGUGUCAACAUGUCUAGAUAGUAUAUUAGGUGUCAACAUGUCUAGAUAGUAUAUUAGGUGUCAACAUGUCCUGUAUGUCUAGAUAGUAUAUUAGGUGUCAACAUGUCCUGUAUGUCUAGAUAGUAUAUUAGGUGUCAACAUGUCCUGUAUGUCUAGAUAGUAUAUUAGGUGUCAACAUGUCCUGUAUGUCUAGAUAGUAUAUUAGGUGUCAACAUGUCUAGAUAGUAUAUUAGGUGUCAACAUGUCCUGUAUGUCUAGAUAGUAUAUUAGGUGUCAACAUGUCCUGUAUGUCUAGAUAGUAUAUUAGGUGUCAACAUGUCCUGUAUGUCUAGAUAGUAUAUUAGGUGUCAACAUGUCUAGAUAGUAUAUUAGGUGUCAACAUGUCUAGAUAGUAUAUUAGGUGUCAACAUGUCCUGUAUGUCUAGAUAGUAUAUUAGGUGUCAACAUGUCCUGUAUGUCUAGAUAGUAUAUUAGGUGUCAACAUGUCCUGUAUGUCUAGAUAGUAUAUUAGGUGUCAACAUGUCUAGAUAGUAUAUUAGGUGUCAACAUGUCUAGAUAGUAUAUUAGGUGUCAACAUGUCCUGUAUGUCUAGAUAGUAUAUUAGGUGUCAACAUGUCUAGAUAGUAUAUUAGGUGUCAACAUGUCCUGUAUGUCUAGAUAGUAUAUUAGGUGUCAACAUGUCCUGUAUGUCUAGAUAGUAUAUUAGGUGUCAACAUGUCCUGUAUGUCUAGAUAGUAUAUUAGGUGUCAACAUGUCCUGUAUGUCUAGAUAGUAUAUUAGGUGUCAACAUGUCUAGAUAGUAUAUUAGGUGUCAACAUGUCCUGUAUGUCUAGAUAGUAUAUUAGGUGUCAACAUGUCCUGUAUGUCUAGAUAGUAUAUUAGGUGUCAACAUGUCCUGUAUGUCUAGAUAGUAUAUUAGGUGUCAACAUGUCCUGUAUGUCUAGAUAGUAUAUUAGGUGUCAACAUGUCCUGUAUGUCU